UAAAUGCCUUUAAGUACAAUUUUUUCAAAUUAUUUUUAUAAAAAUUAAGUAGGUAUCGACGGUUUGUUUCCACUAUUGCAAUUAAUGUUAAAAAUAUACAGGUGGAUACAAAGUUAAUAAUUAUUAUCGUUUUAAUACGUAUUUUAUAUUUUAUAUCAUCAUAAAAUAUUGUUACCAGCGUGAUUUUUUCUAAAUAAAUCAUUAAUUUAUAAAUUUAACAUAAUGUACUGGUAUACCAUAUUAUUACCUAU